rnacentral:rRNA from 1 species
UUGGGUUAGGUGGGCGGGACGGGUGAGUAACGCGUGGGUAACCUGCCUUACACAGGGGGAUAACACUUAGAAAUAGGUGCUAAAACCGCAUAAGCGCACAGCUUCGCAUGAAGCGGUGUGAAAAACUCCGGUGGUGUAAGAUGGACCCGCGUCUGAUUAGCUUGUUGGCGGGGUAACGGCCCACCAAGGCGACGAUCAGUAGCCGGCCUGAGAGGGCGGACGGCCACAUUGGGACUGAGGCACGGCCCAGACUCCUACGGAAGGCAGCAG